rnacentral:rRNA from 1 species
CCCGGUGGCCACGCCGGAGGGGUUCCACCCGUUCCCAUCCCGAACACGGAAGUUAAGCCCUCCAGGGCUCAUGAUACUGCCGCCGCGAGGCUGUGGGAAAGUAGGACGCUGCCGGGA